UAUAUUGACCUAGAUUCCCCAUUUCAUCUGUCAAAAGAACCGGUGAUUGAGGGUUAUAAUGAACAAUUCAAGAGGUCCAGCGCUCUCCCAGAACUUGUACGGCGAUAUGGAGUACCUUCCUUUGAUGAAACAUCACCAGCAUCCUCACUCUUUAGUGGAGCAUCUUUUCCCGAAACUAAUAGAGUUUGAUUAUAACAAUCAGCUAUUGCUUCAUAGGCUUUUGUGUUUACAGAAUUUUCUUUUCUCAUUCUGAAACUGUUAGAACCAUAAAUAGUAUUGAAUUACAGUAUUCUUCUUGCCUUUGCAGCAAUACUCCUAAAAUAUAGCAAAUGUACAAAGCUAUCGAUUAUAGACUACAAUGCAGGUAUGCAUAUUUGUCACUUCAGAGUAUACAUAUCCAUCACUUUUUUUAAAGAAUGCAGGUCCCAGAACCUUGUGUGCCUGAAUAAUUGGUAAUACACAUGACAGAAAAACAAUUGACAUAACAAUAUUGUUCAUUUGACUGAAAACAGAGACACAUUAGCUGGUCUUGUAGAACAUUUUCAGAUACAUAGAAUUUCCUGUAUAGCAGCUGGACUUGUAUUUGAUGUCUGGACUACACUGCUUGGAUGACUGGCUGGAGUCCGAAUACCAAGAGAUGAUUUUUGGUCUUCAAAGAUGUUUCAGCAUUGCACUGUUGGUCUGCAUUGCUUGGAAGAGACAUGACAAAUUUUUCAAUCGACUUCUGAUCAUUUUCAAGCUGCUCCUCAAGCUCUGCAAUGUUACUUCCUUCUGAGUGAAGUCUGGUUAUUUCAUUCUUGAGGUUGGCACUGAUACUUUUGUUAACAGAAACAACACUUUCGACUUCAACUUCUUUAGGAGCUGGUCGAACUGCACACAUGUCUCUAAUUUCUGCUUGUAGCUUAGCAAUUGUUUCUGCAGCAUCCUGGUUACCUUGUCUAUGGCAAGCCACCUCUUUCUGCAAUACUUCCAGUGCUCGAUUUGCUUCCUCACCAAGCUGUUCCUGGAGGUGUUCAAGCUUUUUGAUCUCAUGCAUGAGUGUGAAUGGAGCAGUGGAGGACUGCCUCAUGGUCUGUCUUGCCAUUGUAUUUUUUGACUCAGAAAAAUUUAAAUCUCUUCUCUCUGCCUGUUUUACAUUUACAACUAUACUCAUUAACUUCCCCAAUACAGACAUAUUCAGUGUAAACCCUGAAGAUCACUUAAGCAAAAGAUAGUAGUUUGAGUUAGUAGACAGGUUGGUCAUAAUGUUUUGCUGUAUAUACAUGCAUAUGCUAUGCUUAUAAAUCUAUUAGUCAUCUUUCAGAUUCA